CCUACGGGCGGCAGCAGUGAGGAAUAUUGGUCACUGGACGAGAGUCUGAACCAGCCAAGUAGCGUGAAGGAUGACUGCCCUAUGGGUUGUAAACUUCUUUUAUAUGGGACUAAAAUGUUCCACGUGUGGGAUUUUGUAUGUACCAUAUGAAUAAGGAUCGGCUAACUCCGUGCCAGCAGCCGCGGUAAUACGGAGGAUCCGAGCGUUAUCCGGAUUUAUUGGGUUUAAAGGGAGCGUAGGUGGAUUGUUAAGUCAGUUGUGAAAGUUUGCGGCUCAACCGUAAAAUUGCAGUUGAAACUGGCAGUCUUGAGUACAGUAGAGGUGGGCGGAAUUCGUGGUGUAGCGGUGAAAUGCUUAGAUAUCACGAAGAACUCCGAUUGCGAAGGCAGUUCACUGGACUGCAACUGACACUGAGGCUCGAAAGUGUGGGUAUCAAACAGGAUUAGAUACCCGUGUAGUC
rnacentral:rRNA from 1 species